GGGAUGUUGUUAUGCACUGGAUUUAUAUCUGGGUUUGGUUAACGGCCAAACCCUUU
rnacentral:ncRNA from 1 species